CCAUUCCUUCGUCUGUGCACUAG
rnacentral:miRNA from 1 species